rnacentral:rRNA from 1 species
AUUAGAUACCCUGGUAGUCCACGCUGUAAACGAUGGAUACUAGGUGUGGGGGGACUGACCCCCUCCGUGCCGCAGCUAACGCAAUAAGUAUCCCACCUGGGGAGUACGAUCGCAAGGUUGAAACUCAAAGGAAUUGACGGGGGCCCGCACAAGCGGUGGAGUAUGUGGUUUAAUUCGAAGCAACGCGAAGAACCUUACCAGGGCUUGACAUCCAACUAACGAGGCAGAGAUGCGUCAGGUGCCCUUCGGGGAAAGUUGAGACAGGUGGUGCAUGGUUGUCGUCAGCUCGUGUCGUGAGAUGUUGGGUUAAGUGCCAUAACGAGCGCAACCCCCAUCGACAGUUGCUAACAGGUCAAGCUGAGGACUCUGUCGAGACUGCCGGCGCAAGCUGCGAGGAAGGCGGGGAUGACGUCAAAUCAGCACGGCCCUUACGUCCGGGGCGACACACGUGUUACAAUGGCAGGUACAGCGGGAAGCCACCUGGCGACAGGGAGCGGAACCCGAAAGCCUGUCUCAGUUCGGAUUGGAGUCUGCAACCCGACUCCAUGAAGCUGGAUUCGCUAGUAAUCGCGCAUCAGCCACGGCGCGGUGAAUACGUUCCCGGGCCUUGUACACACCGCCCGUCAAGCCAUGGAAGCCGGGGGUGCCUGAAGUGCGCUGCCGCAAGAAGCGCCCUGGGGUAAAACCGGUGACUGGAGCUAAGUCGUAACAAGGUACC